ACCCGCUGCGGUGGACCUGGCCGGCGCCCUGGACCUCUCGCUUUUCUCAUCCGCUCCCCGCGCCUGCACAGGCAGGUAAUGAAGCCGCUCGGAGAGUGACUCUGGUUCUGUUAGGCGGUCACACAAACCCGGAAAAGCUCGCUUUUGCACACCUCAGAGUUAGAUCCCGCUGGACCCUGGACCCCGGGCUGGCGCGGCCGGCAUGUCGGAUGCGCGGAAGGGGCCGGACGAGGCGGAUGAUAGCCAGUGUGACUCUGGCAUAGAGUCGCUGCGCUCUCUACGCUCCCUGCCUGAACCUACUGCGGCCCCAGGCUCCGGAUCAUCCCAAAGCGGCUGCCCACAGCCUUGGAGACAUGCUCCGGAGACCCACAAGGAACCAGAGAAAGAAGAUGCGGAUGGAGAGCGAGCGGACUCCACUUAUGCCUCCUCCUCUCUCACUGAAUCCUUCCCCUUACUGGAGAGACCCGAAGCCAAGGAUCCAAGCCCUCCCGCCCCAGGAUCGCCGCUGCCCCCCGCGGGGGUGCUGAGCCCUCAGCAACUCGAGGCGCUCACAUACAUCUCUGAGGAUGGAGACACGUGAGUAAACUGGCUAGGCUGAGAUAAGAUGUUCAGUUAGAGCCCCCCUCCGAGCUGCAACUGGCUGGGCUACCACCACCACUUCAUCACCCGAGAGGAUAGACCCUCACAGCACCUGCCCUGGAAGGGCCAGCCUCCUUCUCCAAACUCCAAACUUAACUUGCAACUUGCUUUUAAGCUGUAGCCAGGUUCAGACCAAAAACCAGACAUCAUCACCUCUUUUGGGAGUGGACAGGAUAGCAGUGCCCUUGUAACCUAGAACACCAGCCACAGUCUUGAAAAUCUACUAGUGACCCACUCCUGGGAAGAGGAAUUCCCCCGCAACCAAUUCAGUUUUUGUUUUUCUUGUUGGGGGAAGGAAUGUCCCUGUUUGCUCAAUAUUUGGGAUACCAAUGCCUAACUUCAGAACACCCUAACCAGAGGGGGGAAAAAAGACUACACCAGGAUUACAGGUUGUCAUCUGAGCUCAGGAAGCCUGGAUUAACGGUGCUACCUGGAUGCCCAUUUGAAAGUGGUUCCAAAAGAGGGACUAGACUGAGAAUUUUUGCCCCCAACAAACAGGAUAGGCAGCUGGCUGCCCCAGCUCACUUCCUCCUCUGCUGAGAAAAGGGAAGUAAUGGCUUGGCCUCAGCCUCCCCAACAGUUACCUCCUGAGCUCCCCAAAUUCUUCUUGCUGUCCCAUCUCUUGAUCUCCCUUUUCUCCCUUAGGUCCAGCUGGAAUCAGGUGCAGCUGGACUGUGAGGCUAUCAAGUGUGUAGGUGUCAAGUGCAGAAGAGGUGACUGGGCUUUGUGGGUGUUAGAGCAGGGGCAGCUGGAGUGCUAGCUAGAUGAGAGAGACGCUGGGAUGCAGGGGGUACCUGUCCUGACCUGCUUGUUGGAGAUGUAGGGGUCUUGGUUGGGUACUAGCAAAGAUAGUCUCCAUCCUGUGAGCAGGAGAGAGGCCUUUUGUAUUUCAGGCGCCAGUCACAACCCUUAGGCCAGGACCUCAGAGUUCUGGGAGCUCUGUGCACAGCUUCUCGGGCCACCGCGCCCUCCACGGUUAGCCCCUGUGCUGCAUGCAGCCUUGACACACUCUGCUUAGAGACAGAUCCAGUGUGUCUGGAGAAGCAUCAGCCCCCUCCCCCCCAGCCCCCAGCAGACAUCUUCCCUCCUUUGGAGGUGGCUGGACUGUGGGAAGUAUGGAAGUGGGAAAAGGAAGUGGGCAGGAGGAGGGGAGACUGAGGGAGAGAGGGAGGUGGCUGCAGGAAUGUGACCCAGAGAGCAGGCCCUGGCCGAGGGGAUUUCCACAGUGGUUCCUCCCUCCCUCCGUCACUCUCUCCUGGCCUCCUCUACUGCCUGCCUACAGCAAAAGUUUGCCCCCCCCCUCCUGCCUAAGUAUCCCCCUCCCUAGCCCAGACAGGCCUUUAGCCAAGUUGCCCCCAAGGCAGCUGUCCAGGUCUAGACCAUUUAACCCUGGCUUUCAUUUUCCCCACCUGAUGUGGGG
rnacentral:lncRNA from 1 species